rnacentral:RNase_P_RNA from 1 species
UGAGCUGGCCGGGCGGCCGCGGACCAUGGACUGGCCGGAUGGGGGAUAAAGGCCGUCACUGGUUCGAGGAAAGUCCGGACUUCACAGAGCAGGGUGAUUGCUAACGGCAAUCCGAGGUGACUCGCGGGAAAGUGCCACAGAAAACAGACCGCCUCCGCCUCGGCCUUAUGGCCGUCGCGGAGGUAAGGGUGAAACGGUGCGGUAAGAGCGCACCAGCGUUCCGGGUGACCGGAACGGCUUGGUAAACCCCACCCGAAGCAAGGCCAAGAAUGCCGCGUGGAGGGCGCGGCAGCGCAGGCGCUCGAGGGCUGCUCGCCCGAGCCUGCGGGUAGGCCGCUCGAGGCACCCGGCGACGGUGUGCCCAGAUGGAUGGUCGCCGCCUUGUCACCAGACAUGGUGACGAGGAACAGAAUCCGGCUUACAGGCCGGCUCAUCCG